UACGUAGGUGGCAAGCGUUGUCCGGAAUUAUUGGGCGUAAAGCGCGCGCAGGCGGUCCUUUAAGUCUGAUGUGAAAGCCCACGGCUCAACCGUGGAGGGUCAUUGGAAACUGGAGGACUUGAGUACAGAAGAGGAAAGCGGAAUUCCACGUGUAGCGGUGAAAUGCGUAGAGAUGUGGAGGAACACCAGUGGCGAAGGCGGCUUUCUGGUCUGUAACUGACGCUGAGGCGCGAAAGCGUGGGUAGCAAACAGG
rnacentral:rRNA from 1 species